AAGCUCACUCACACUCAAUGAGUGGAGGUUCAAUCUGAGCUUCCUUUGAGUGUCAAUGCUGUUUUUGAACAGACCCUCCAGCUGUUAAAAAAUGGCAUUGACACUCAGAGAAGCUCAGAUUGAAUCUCCACUCAUUGAGUGUGAGUGAGC